GGAGCUUGCUCCCGGAUGUUAGCGGCGGACGGGUGAGUAACACGUGGGUAACCUGCCUGUAAGACUGGGAUAACUCCGGGAAACCGGAGCUAAUACCGGAUAGUUCCUUGAACCGCAUGGUUCAAGGAUGAAAGACGGUUUCGGCUGUCACUUACAGAUGGACCCGCGGCGCAUUAGCUAGUUGGUGAGGUAACGGCUCACCAAGGCGACGAUGCGUAGCCGACCUGAGAGGGUGAUCGGCCACACUGGGACUGAGACACGGCCCAGACUCCUACGGGAGGCAGCAGUAGGGAAUCUUCCGCAAUGGACGAAAGUCUGACGGAGCAACGCCGCGUGAGUGAUGAAGGUUUUCGGAUCGUAAAGCUCUGUUGUUAGGGAAGAACAAGUGCAAGAGUAACUGCUUGCACCUUGACGGUACCUAACCAGAAAGCCACGGCUAACUACGUGCCAGCAGCCGCGGUAAUACGUAGGUGGCAAGCGUUGUCCGGAAUUAUUGGGCGUAAAGGGCUCGCAGGCGGUUUCUUAAGUCUGAUGUGAAAGCCCCCGGCUCAACCGGGG
rnacentral:rRNA from 1 species